rnacentral:tRNA from 1 species
ACCUGGGUGGCUCAGUCGGUUAAGCAUCUGACUUCGGCUCAGGUCAUGAUCUCGCGGUCCGUGGGUUCGAGCCCCACGUCGGGCU